rnacentral:rRNA from 1 species
GGAUAUCAUUAUAUCAGUACUAACACAUUGGAUCUCAUCAGAAUUCGAAAGUUAAGUGUGCUCGGGCGAAAAUAGUAUCAUAAUGGGUGACGUUUAGAAACUCGUCGUUUUAUAUCAA